ensembl:lncRNA
UCAUCCAUCUAUCUACCCAUAUCUAUCCAAGGGAGGGGUCGGGGGUUGCACACGCAUUGCAUCAUUGGCGCAGGCAUGCACACUUUUGGCUUGCGACGUGGGAAAGGUUAGCUAUCACUGCCUUUCAUUUUUCCAUUUUACCAUAUGCCAUAUACCAUUUUACACAAAUGGCUGUCCAAUCUCUCCUUAAAAACUUCCAGUGUUGGAGCGUUUAUAACUUCUAGAGGUGCUUUGGAGAAUAGCUUGACUUCCUGUUCUGAGAAGACUGCUAUCAUGUUACCUCUAAUCUAUGAUGACCCAGGCUUGGCACAGAAACAACACCACCAGAAUGAAGAUUUAACUCUCCUUUUUUUGUUCCAACUUCCCCCCACCUCCAAAAUCCCACAGUUCACUGCAAAUCCAGGAACAAAGCUCUAAGCAUGCACCUCCAAUAGUUCCUGGCUGCUAUUAAUCCAGAGGAGCAGCUCAGUUCUGAGAGCAGCCACAGUUCAGGGAAGUUGGUUCCAAGGAGUCCUCGUCACAGACAAGAAGUCACUGCUACUACAGCAUCACCUGGAAUAUAACUGUGUCACUGCGACCUCACACAUAGCCAGGCCAGCAUGGCAAACAAGGCAGACAAGCCCAGCAAAGUAUCCAGACAUUGGUAACAGCAGGUGAAGCUGGAAAAAGCAACGCUUGUUCAUGACAAACAUUACCUCUCAACUGCGUCUCUUUAAACUUCAUUCCCCAGCAUUUUAAUGUGAGGCCAGAGCAAGUUCUUAAAUGGAUGUUGUCUCCAGACCUGUUUGAGGCAGAGACUGAAGAUGAGAGCACCACAAUACAAACCAAGGCAAGAGAGGAAACUGAAUUUCCCUCUUUUGUAGAAGAUUUCAGAUUAAGGUGGUGGGUGCUGUGCCCAUCGAAUGGUUGGAUGCCCUUUAAUCUUUGCAGAGAUAUUCUCUCUUCCAGGAUGUCGUCUGGAGUAGUAGUUAAAUCGGAAUUUCAGCCUUGGGAAGACGGGGCAAAAGUUCUCGCAACGCAGCUUCCACACGCCUUCAUUUUGAAAAGACCCACGAAGAAAAGAAACAGUCCCAUUUUAUUCAGGAAAAGGCCCAAAUAGAGACCCAUCAUAGAUUGUUGCAGUGAGCCUGCUGGGGAAAGACGGUGGAUCAUUUUGAUUUAUUUGUAAUAAAAGCUGGAAGUCUUUCGUUUAAUAGCUUCCUCUCCUGAGUGGGAAAAAAAAGUAUUUCGAAACACAUUUGCUUGUUCUAGUCUUUCCCCAUUUCUGAAAAGCUUGCAAUGUUUCACUUCAUUUUCCCUAUUGUUCCCCAAUGCCUUUAUUUUAGAUGAAUUAACAGAUCCACACCAGAGGUGGUGAAUUCAGCAGGUUCUGACCGGUUCUGGAGAACCGGUAGUGGAAAUGUUGAGUAGUUGGGAGAACCGGCCAAUCCCACCUCCAACUGACCCCGCCCCCAUCUAUUCUCUGCCUCCUGAGUCCCAGCUGAUUGGCUGGGUCUUCUUUGGUUGCCCUGCACAGGAGAACAGAGCUGCAAAGCAGGUUAGUGGGGUGGGGAGGGAAUGGAGAUUUUGCAAUAGCCUUGCCCCUGGUGGGAAUGGGAAAUUUUGUAGUAUCCUUUCUCUGCCACUGCCACCAAGCCACACCAUGCUCACCAAGCCCUGCCCACAGAACCGGUAGUAAAAUUUUUUUGAAUCCCACCACUGAUCCACAUACUUUAUUUCAUUAUACAAGAUAUGUUAAUACUGGCUUCACGUUGGGAG